rnacentral:tRNA from 1 species
ACUUGAGUAGUUUAAAUAUUAAAAUAUUGAUUUGUGGAGUCAAUGAUAUAAUUAAUUUAUCUUAAGUC